GUAUCAUCAACUGUUAUGAAUGGGAUGUGGAGCAUGUGUAUACUUUGUAUCACAACUGUCUGAAUGGAAUGUGGAGCAUGUGUAAUCAUUUGUACUAUCAACUGUCUCAUGAUGGGAAUGUGGAGCAUGUGUAAUAAUGUAUAUCAACUGUUGAAUGGGAAUGUGAGCAUGUGUAAUCAUUGUAUCAUCAACUGUCUAUGAAUGGGAAUGUGGAGCAUGUGUAACAUUUGUAUUCUACAACUGUCUGAAUGGGAAUGUUGGAGCAUGUGUAAUCAUUUGUAUCAUCAACUGUCUGAAUGGGAAUGUGGAGCAUGUGUAAUCAUUUGUAUCAUCAACUGUCUAUGAAUGGGAAUGUGGAGCAUGUGUAAUCAUUUGAUCAUCAACUGUCUAUGAUGGAUGUGGAGCAUGUGUAAUCAUUGUAUCAUCAACUGCGUCUGAAUGUGGAGUGGUUAAUCGUUUGUAUCAUCAACUGUCUGAUGGGAAUGGGGCAUGUGUAUCAUUUGUAUCAUCAACUGCGUCUGAAUGGGAAUGUGGAGCAUGUGUAAUUGUUGUAUCAUCAACUGUCUGAAUGGGAAUGUGGGACAUGUGUAAUCAUUUGUUCUCAACUGUCUGAAUGGGAUGUG
rnacentral:lncRNA from 1 species